GUGGAUUAGAUACCCGAGUAGUCCACGCCCUAAACGAUGUCGACUAGGUGUUGGGGAAGGAGACUUCCUUAGUACCGCAGCUAACGCGUGAAGUCGACCGCCUGGGGAGUACGGUCGCAAGAUUAAAACUCAAAGGAAUUGACGGGGACCCGCACAAGCGGUGGAUGAUGUGGAUUAAUUCGAUGCAACGCGAAAAACCUUACCUACCCUUGACAUGUACGGAAGCCCGAUGAGAGUUGGGUGUGCCCGAAAGGGAGCCGUAACACAGGUGCUGCACGGUCGUCGUCAACU
rnacentral:rRNA from 1 species